rnacentral:lncRNA from 1 species
GAGGACACAUUUUUGGACACAUUUUUUUUUUAUUCAUUUUCUCCUCUCUUUCAAAAUACACAUAUAUUUAUUUUUUACAACUCAUAAACAUUUUUCCUUUGCAAACCCACACACAUAUUCAUAAAUACACAAGCAUAUUUUAUUUAUUCCAUUUUUCUAUUUUUCUCUUCAAAACAUACCACAGACAUAGACACACACUAACACACCACACAUAUACACACACUAAAAUCAGAUGGUUGCUCACUUUUCUCUCACAAAACACGCUACACAAUACAAAUAAUAUACAUUACAUACACAAGCACCAUCUUUUCUCUCUCUAAUGGAUCUCCCUCUUCCCUUUUCUCGCAUCACCAUCAUCUUUAUCUCAUCGCAGCUCCCCCAUCGAGACCCCAACAGGACCAGACGCCACCAUAUCUCUCUUUGUUCUUGCCAUGCCUCGCUGGAGUUGAUCGUCGGCGGGCGGGCCUCAAACUGUUGAUGACCAUAUCCGGCCACCAUUCUUUUACCUUUCUUUUUUUCCUCUAUUUGUGUUGUUGUUUCUCCUCCGUGAAGAGCUCCGGCGAGGUUUUCCCUCGUAGAUUUGCCGCAAAUUCGGCACAAAAGACCCGCUGCUCAGGUGCUUCAUCGCCGUCGAAGUAGCGGUGUUGGUUGGUGUCUUUGUUUAUUUUUGAUGCUUGAUAAUAUUCUUAUUAUGCUUGUUCUUGUCUGAGUUGUUUAGAUCUGACCGGAGUUGGCCAUGGGUUUUCUUAAUAAUUGCUUUUGCAGAUGGUUGUUUACUUUUGCUAUUAUUGCUACUUUGUCUCUGGGUCUGCUGCUGUUUUGCAUCAGACAUUGAUUUUGAAUAAUAUUUAUUAUUUACAUUUAUUUGACUGAUAAAGAACAUGGAUACUACACUAUUUAUAUUUUUAUUUGACUGAUAAGAAAUAAAUACUACACGAAUAUUCGCCAAUGAAAAAAUUAUUAUUAAUUUUGAGGCCUCCGUAAACAAAAGACAGAUUUUACGUAUACAAAUACGUAAUAAAAAUAGUUUUUGGGAGAUGAUGAAACUUUAUAACAACACAAGAUUUUACAACUCAUAUUCUGGCAAGACGAUUUAGGAUGGCCAAUUAAUUGAGCAACCAUUUCGUAGCAAAACGAUUUAGGAUGGCCCAUUAACUGAGCAACCAUUUCGCAGUCAUUACUUUAUCUGAGCCCACUUUUAUCAAAAAAAUAUAUAUUUUUUUAUAAUACGUAAAAAUACACAUUCUCAUUUACUAUUAUUUAUUUGUUACUAAUAUUUUUUUACAGGUGUUUAUACAGAUUAUUUUGGAAUACUCGUAGGGAGUUGCAGCCAAAGAGGCUCUUUUAAUUUUGUAUUGUAUUUUAUAUUCUUAUAUUUGUACAAAUGUUAUUAUAGAGAAAACUUUAUUUUGGGGGUGUUGGGAGGGAUUUUCUUUAUUUAUACGACUUCACCUCGCGUUUAUGCAAACUUAGGCCGUUAAUGUUUACAUUAAUAAAUUAAAUUAAUCAAUUAGUUUACAUACUUUGACAUCAUAAACAUUGUGAUCUUUUCUGUUCAAAUAAAUCUUUACUUUUUUCUCGUAAAUUUUAAAUCAAGUAAAAAAUAUUAUUUUUAAAUAUUU